AUUGAACGCUGGCGGCAGGCCUAACACAUGCAAGUCGAACGGUAACAGGAAGAAGCUUGCUUCUUUGCUGACGAGUGGCGGACGGGUGAGUAAUGUCUGGGAAACUGCCUGAUGGAGGGGGAUAACUACUGGAAACGGUAGCUAAUACCGCAUAACGUCGCAAGACCAAAAAGGGGGACCUUCGGGCCUCUUGCCAUCGGAUGUGCCCAGAUGGGAUUAGCUAGUAGGUGGGGUAACGGCUCACCUAGGCGACGAUCCCUAGCUGGUCUGAGAGGAUGACCAGCCACACUGGAACUGAGACACGGUCCAGACUCCUACGGGAGGCAGCAGUGGGGAAUAUUGCACAAUGGGCGCAAGCCUGAUGCAGCCAUGCCGCGUGUAUGAAGAAGGCCUUCGGGUUGUAAAGUACUUUAAGCGGGGAGGAAGGGAGUAAAGUUAAUACCUUUGCUCAUUGACGUUACCCGCAGAAGAAGCACCGGCUAACUCCGUG
rnacentral:rRNA from 1 species